rnacentral:lncRNA from 1 species
GCUAAAGGCAUUGUAUUACUGAAGUGCUAGCUUUGAUAGGGCUGAAAAAAAACUCUAGUAUAGAGUAGCUUUUGGUCUAAGGAGCUGGACCCUGCAUUCUGCCCAGGCCCUGCCUUGACACUGAGUUCCAGAAGCCAGGUCCUUGCUUUGCUCCCUCACUUCUGCUUCCUACUUCAGACUCACUCUGGAGCCCCAGGUCUGCUUGGAGCACAACAUUCUGCCAUAGAAUGGAAGCGUCUGUGACCGAGGGAAGCCUCCCUAAGAACUAUGAGAACCAGCCUGUCACUCUUAGAUGUCUCUGGCUUUACCAUCAAGCAAUUAUAUUCACUAUGGAGGAGCCAGUGUUCAAUUCUGACAGAACUGCCAAUAUGGAACAGAGCAGCUUUGAGUGUGAGUAUAACAUGGGGGCCUGGGGUAUGUAAUGCUCAGACUUGAUCAGAAGAG